CUACAAAUGAAUUGAGGGGCCCGCACAAGCGGAGGAACAUGUGGUUAAUUCGAUGAUACGCGAGGAACCUUACCUGGGCUUAAAUGUAGAGUGCAUUUUCUAGAGAUAGGAAUUCCCUUCGGGGCUUUCUACAAGGUGCUGCAUGGUGUCGUCAGCUCGUGCCGUGAGGUGUCGGGUUAAGUCCCAUAACGAGCGCAACCCUUAUCGUUAGUUGCCAUCUGGUAAAGCAGGGGACUCUAGCGAAACUGCCACCGUAAGGUGAGAGGAAGGUGGGGAUGACGUCAAAUCAGCACGGCCCUUAUGUCCAGGGCUACACACGUGUUACAAUGGUCGGUACAGAGGGCAGCUACCUGGUGACAGGAUGCUAAUCUCGAAAACCGGCCUCAGUUCGGAUCGAAGUCUGCAACUCGACUUCGUGAAGCUGGAUUCGCUAGUAAUCGCGCAUCAGCCAUGGCGCGGUGAAUACGUUCCCGGGCCUU
rnacentral:rRNA from 1 species